AUGACAAGGAGAUAAGCUCUUUUCCUUCCUCAUGAAUAUUUUCUGUUCACCAAGAUUUCUCCUGGUUUCUUUCUUGUUGUCGUUGUUGUUCUGUAUUUCCCUAUUUGCUAACAAUAAUGGUAGAUUGGAGGAUGGCCAAUGAGACAGAAAAAAGAGACGGUGCUAUUUAUUUAUCAGAAUGUGUCAACGGAUGUUUGAGAGUGGUGUCAAUGUCGAGCACACAUGAGUGGAGUGCAUAUGGUGUCCACGUUGCAUCUCAUGCCUUUACCGUAAGAGAUGUCGACAUUAUACAGAUUCGGUGAGGAUUGCAAAUCCGAAGACUCCUGAAACACAUUUUCUGGCAUUGCCUUCAAUUGUGCAAAUCUUACAGAGUUGUCCUUAAAUUAUGCAAAUUGUGUUAUAAAAAGGAAACAACAUAAGAAGAACUAUGUCGGUGUCACAUCAAAAUGACUAUAAUGCCAUAUAAAAGAAAAACGGCUUUUAAAUUUGAUUUCAUUCACUCAUUAUUGGCAACAUGCUUUGAGGUACAGAGAACUUCUCUAGUCACACAGGCCUAGCUGGAGUUCUAACCCACAAAACGUGGCGGAUCCCAAACAUCCCUGAGGGGUGCACCAUUGAUCCACCAGGGGACAGGUUGAAUACCCAGCGAAUUCUGUUUAUGUUGGCUUGCGCCCGAUUUCGUCAGCAAGGGACACUAGGUGGAUGUGGGCCACUGUGCCCAGCUGAAUCAAGCCACAUCGGGACAUACGAAAGGCACAUGCCUCAAAUAUCUGUCACCGGGCUCAGUUCGCCUCGUGUGUCAUGAGCCACGGCCACGCACAAGGAGAAUAGCGGUGCACCUUCCCAUCCGGUUCACAAAACCUGCAGCCAUCACCUGAGAGUAAUAUUCACAACCUUCGACACCCACAACAUGAUGAUGGUAAAAUGCCUUUUUUCACUGUGGUAUGCUUGUUUCUUAACCAUCUCCCCUGGGUGCCACUGUAUUUCAUAGGUUCUUAUUGAAAACAUUUUGAAAAACAUGUCACUAAGUUGGUUUUUUUUUUCCAUGUCACUAAGUUUUUGAGUGUUGUGUCCUAAUCUCAUUUUCCCCAUAAACCCUCUGGUUUUUAUUGUGUGAUUUUGCAUAGUGCAGUGCUAUUUAGGAACCCAUAUGUCACAUUAUAGCAGAACUGACCAUAUUUGUUCCAGUCAUUCGGCAAAAAGUGAAAAUUUUUGUUCUCUCUCUCCCCUUUAAAAUAUGUGUUUCCUGGGUUCAUUAGAACCUCUCCUAGUUCUUAACUAGCUUAACAUCAAAUAACAUUCACCAUCACCCAUACAUUUGGUUUUAUAAAACCAUAGAUCUCUUCAUAUUGAAUAAUCUCAAUAAAUGUUUGUUGAAAUAAUUUGAAUUGGCUUAUUCA